UAACGCGUGGGUAACCUGCCUUGCACUGGGGGAUAACACUUAGAAAUAGGUGCUAAUACCGCAUAAGCGCACGGUCCUGCAUGGGACAGUGUGAAAAACUCCGGCGGUGCAAGAUGGACCCGCGUCUGAUUAGCUGGUUGGCGGGGUAAAGGCCCACCAAGGCGACGAUCAGUAGCCGGCCUGAGAGGGUGGACGGCCACAUUGGGACUGAGACACGGCCCAAACUCCUACGGGAGGCAGCAGUGGGGGAUAUUGGACAAUGGGGGGAACCCUGAUCCAGCGACGCCGCGUGAGUGAAGAAGUAUUUCGGUAUGUAAAGCUCUGUCNUUUUNGAAGAAAGCAAUGACGGUACCUGACCAAGAAGCCCCGGCUAACUACGUGCCAGCAGCCGCGGUAAUACGUAGGGGGCAAGCGUUAUCCGGAAUUACUGGGUGUAAAGGGAGCGUAGACGGCUGUGCAAGUCUGGAGUGAAAGGCGGGGGCCCAACCCCCGGACUGCUCUGGAAACUGUAUGGCUGGAGUGCAGGAGAGGUAAGCGGAAUUCCUAGUGUAGCGGUGAAAUGCGUAGAUAUUAGGAGGAACACCAGUGGCGAAGGCGGCUUACUGGACUGUAACUGACGUUGAGGCUCGAAAGCGUGGGGAGCAAACAGGAUUAGAUACCCUGGUAGUCCACGCCGUAAACGAUGAUUACUAGGUGU
rnacentral:rRNA from 1 species